AGCACUUGAAAUACUGCUGCAAGUGACUCAACGCUGCCUGAAAAUGGUGCAGACCACAGCAAGUGGGGUCGUACGUGGCUGGAGCCUUUUUGAGGAGCUGAGGAGCAACCUCUACUUCAUUUGUCUUAAAUUUUGAACAUGACACCUGGAUAAAACAAAUGUUUUGCAGCUUGAUGAAUUGUUUGCCUGCUUUGUUCAAACUGUGUGUUGCAUACUUUGAAAUACAGAGCCCUGGCAGUCCCUGGGGCUCUGCUUUCUGGUUGUCUUCCUGGCUUUCACAGAGCCGGGGGUGAGGCAGAUGACCUGUGGGUCUUGCACAGGGACUCGUACCAGCAUCUUGUGGUCACUGGCUUAUGACGGCACAGAGUAAGUCCUUCCUCCAGGGGUCUGCAAUCUAAACAGACAUCGUGUAGCGUAGUCUUCCCACUGUUAGAGAUGUGGGACUGAAUGCCUGGAGAGGCUGAGGAGAGGCUUCCCUUUUUGCAGUAAACCCCUUUCUGUGCGUGGUCUGAACUGACUCGAUUUUCCCUGAAGUGGAGUGGGAAGGACUGGGCUGCUCAGCUGAGAGGGGCGAGAGAUGGUACAUGUUCCUGGGCUGUGCUGGAGACAGGGCCAUCAGCUGACACAUCCCGUCAUCUGGCACGCAGAAGAGGAUGUGUUUUACUAGUGUGAGUUACAGCUCAUUCCCAGCGUAACGCAGGAACUCAGUGACUGGGGAGUGAAGGAGACAUGAAUUUCUGUUUCACAGGAUUCAAAGUCAGCAUAUUUUUUAAGACUAAAUAUUUAAAUCUCAGUAUUCAGUGUUUUCACAUUUCUCGCUACUUCAGUAAAAUCUAAACAUUAAUGAACAUUUUUAACAUUUGAUUUGGAGAAGCUAGGAACUGAGCAAACCCCACUAGCCCUUUUUGAGCCCUUGGUCUGUUUUAGUAACUUCAGCUAGCUUUCCUCUCUCAGAAUUACAUUUUGUCUUUGUCUUUGUCCUUUCAUGCUUUUGCCUGUCACAUACCAGCUUUAUGUGAAGCCAGCGUUACUAAGGACAGAUUCCUGCGGUCAGUGUUCCCAUUAUCAGAUUUUGUCAGAAGAGCUCUGCUGGUUCAGAAGCAAAGAAGAAAUUUGGCUUGAUCAGGAUACCCACAUGCUGCAUAUAAAACACCCAGAGACUCUUCGGCUGUAUUCCUACCUGAUUUGGGCUGAUGGAAGCAGGAAGCUACUGUACCACACCACCAGAGCUCCAGUCUCAUUUUACUGUCUCUUCUUCCACCUCCUGUAUGCUGCCUUUCUGUGCUGAAAGUCUACAGAGUCUCCUGUUUAGCCAAGCCAGCUCCUCUUACAUCCACCCAUCUUCCAGAAUAUCAAGAUGGGCCCCACCUGUCCUUGGAGGAUUCCGUCCUUAAAGGCUUGCCAGCUCUCCUGAGAUCCUUUCAGAGCUGCCCCAUGGCAUCCCACCUACCAGUUCCCCGAACAAGCAGCAGCCUCCUCGCCCGGAGUCCCAGGUCUGUGCUGCAGUCCUUUCUCACUCCUCACGGGGUCUUGUACCCCGCUAUUGAGCAGUCGCUACAGCCGUGGAUACCACCGACUGCCCUGUCCCCCACCAGAUCUUCUUUGUCAGUGCUGGGGAGCAUCACCCUGCUUGGUCCACCCAAUACCUCUAUCAAGAUGUUCUCCCUGACACCUCUAGAAAUCUUCCUCAACACUUGUGUCCUGCUGUGUUGCCCUUCCAGCAGAUGAAAGGAGGUGAAAGUGCCCCAAAGAACAAGGGUCUGUGAUACGAAGGCUUGAGCUGUCUAAAGAAGUCUUCGUGUUUGCCCUCACCCUGAUCAGGUGAGGUGGCAUCCUCCCACGGUGAUGCCACCCUCGCUGGUUUCUCAUCUGAUUGUGACCCAUGAGCCCGCGCCCAGCCCGUCGCCUAUCCCAUGGAAAUGCUCUGCACCUCUGAGCUGCUUCUUCGCCCAGAGGGCAUCUCCUCUCCUUUUCUUCGUUGCCUGUCUUACCUGCAGAGCCGGUACCCACCCGUGCAGGCAGUCCCAGCAGCUCUCCAGCGAUGCCGCUGCCCUGUGGCCCCACUGGACUGCUCAUCCCUCCGGGUUGUUUCGCAGGCUGUGCACACUAGAUGGGGGAUGCCUCCUUUCACCCUCUUCCUGAUGUCUCUUGUUCUCAUCGCCCUACACACUUUAUUAACCAUGUCAAAUUUGACCCUGGGCUCGGUUUUAAAAAAAAAUAGAAAACUAGACUCCUUUUACAGACCUCAAGUGUUUGUUUAGCUGCAAACCUGAAUUUAAGUCUUUCUCCAGGUUAAGUUCCUCGCCUAGGUCUAUAGCUGCUGGCACUCAGAAAGAUAAAUAGAUCAAAAUGUUCCCAAAAUGAGGACUGGGGGGGGGGGUGUCAAGAUGACCUGAGGCUUCUGUCAUGUCACUGUACCUGUACCCCUUGCUCAUGUGCUGUCACUGCUGCCUAAAACAAAUCCUCAGCGUGUGAAAUUGUAAUGUGAUGGUGGAGCUGGAGUCCCCUCGUACACAGGAGGUGGAGCAUCUGAGGCUUUCAGAGAUAAUUAGGAAGACUGUUUCCCAAGUGUAGAAGAUGAGAUUCUCUUCAUUGGCAGGAAAAGUGCUAAUUAACUGUGCCUACGAGCCGUAACACUUUCCUAAUGAACAAGCCAUGAGCUUUAUGAAAGUACCUCAAAAGACACGGAGAGAACCGCUUCCAGCUGAGCCAAACCCAGCACAUCUCCUCGUGUCGGCCAGACAGGGUGAGAGCGGCUCCAUUUAACAGCCUUUUGGAGGGUUGCCGACGCUGUGCAAUUAAAAGCAAGCCUGCAAGAAGCAAGAGCAUCGGUGCUCAGCCGUGGCAGCGAGUGAGAGCGUGCCAGGAGGAGAGGUGUUUCCCGGGAGCCUGCUGAAGCCGCGCUGGCUCCGACUUGCGACAUCGUCCUCCGACCUUGCCUGAAAAUACACCGCGUUCAAGAAAAAAACCAAAGCAUCUGAGGACAGAGUGAAAGCAAAAUGUUGCAGGGAAGAGAGCCAGCUCAGCAGGAAGAUGCGGAGUUCGUGUAAUUGGAGGUGCAUGGGAGUGCCUUGGGAUGAAGGAGACUUUAAACCGAGAGGAAGGAUUAGUCCUUUCUGGGUAAAGACGAAAUGGGAGAAAUGGGUUGAUUCACUGCCUCCACACUAACAGCAAAUGAGAUGGGUCUGUAUUUCCAUCCCUUCUUUUGCAGGCAGUCAAAACCAAAAGAGGUCUUCAGAGCUUUUACAUUCUGCAACAUAAUAGCCAAAAAAAUGGCACUGAGAAGAAAUCAUUUGUUUCCUUAUUUUUUAUGCAUUUUUGAUGAAAGGCCCCGUGUUGGAUUGUCUUUACAGUGUUAGCAUAAAUACAAGUAAUGGAAAGAGAGAAUAGAAAUGGCCAUCCAUUUGGAGAAAUUAAAAUCUUUUAAUAUAAUAACAAAUUAAAUUCUUGUUAUGAA